rnacentral:tRNA from 1 species
GGAGAGAUGGCAGAGCGGUUUAAUGCAGCGGUCUUGAAAACCGUCGAGGAUGCGAGUCCUCCCUGAGUUCGAAUCUCAGUCUCUCCGCCA